rnacentral:rRNA from 1 species
UGAACGCUAGCUACAGGCUUAACACAUGCAAGUCGAGGGGCAGCAUUAGGUAGCAAUACUGAGAUGGCGACCGGCGCACGGGUGCGUAACGCGUAUCCAACCUUCCCGUUACUCAUGGAUAGCCUUCCGAAAGGGAGAUUAAUACAUGAUGGUGUUGAAAUUCCGCAUGUUAUUUCAACUAAAGAUUUAUCGGUAACGGAUGGGGAUGCGUGACAUUAGAUAGUUGGCGGGGUAACGGCCCACCAAGUCUACGAUGUCUAGGGGUUCUGAGAGGAAGGUCCCCCACACUGGAACUGAGACACGGUCCAGACUCCUACGGGAGGCAGCAGUGAGGAAUAUUGGUCAAUGGCCGAGAGGCUGAACCAGCCAAGUAGCGUGAAGGAUGAAGGUUCUAUGGAUUGUAAACUUCUUUUAUACGGGAUAACAUCACCUACGUGUAGGUGCCUGCAUGUACCGUAUGAAUAAGCAUCGGCUAACUCCGUG